rnacentral:tRNA from 1 species
ACUGAGGUAGCAAAGUGGUGAAUGCGGCAGAUUUAGGAUUUGUUAUUCAAGGGUUCUAAUCCCUUUCUUAGUU